rnacentral:rRNA from 1 species
GACGAACGCUGGCGGCGUGCUUAACACAUGCAAGUCGAGCGGUAAGGCCCUUCGGGUACGACGAGCGGCGAACGGGUGAGUAACACGUGGGUGACCUGCCUCUAGCUCUGGGAUAAGCCUGGGAAACUGGGUCUAAUACCGGAUAUGACUCCACGGCGCAUGUUGUGGGGUGGAAAGCCUUGUGUGGCUAGAGAUGGGCCCGCGGCCUAUCAGCUUGUUGGUGGGGGAUGGCCUACCAAGGCGACGACGGGUAGGCCGGCCUGAGAGGGCGACCGGCCACACUGGGACUGAGACACGGCCCAGACUCCUACGGGAGGCAGCAGUGGGGAAUCUUGCGCAAUGGGCGAAAGCCUGACGCAGCGACGCCGCGUGAGGGAUGACGGCCU